rnacentral:rRNA from 1 species
GACGAACGCUGGCGGCGUGCCUAAUACAUGCAAGUAGAACGCUGAAGGAGGAGCUUGCUUCUCCGGAUGAGUUGCGAACGUGUGAGUAACGCGUAGGUAACCUGCCUGGUAGCGGGGGAUAACUAUUGGAAACGAUAGCUAAUACCGCAUAAGAGUAGAUGUUGCAUGACAUUUGCUUAAAAGGUGCAAUUGCAUCACUACCAGAUGGACCUGCGUUGUAUUAGCUAGUUGGUGAGGUAACGGCUCACCAAGGCGACGAUACAUAGCCGACCUGAGAGGGUGAUCGGCCACACUGGGACUGAGACACGGCCCAGACUCCUACGGGAGGCAGCAGUAGGGAAUCUUCGGCAAUGGACGGAAGUCUGACCGAGCAACGCCGCGUGAGUGAAGAAGGUUGUCGGAUCGUAAAGCUCUGUUGUAAGAGAAGAACGAGUGUGAGAGUGGAAAGUUCACACUGUGACGGUAUCUUACCAGAAAGGGACGGCUAACUACGUG